rnacentral:rRNA from 1 species
UACGUAGGGUGCAAGCGUUGUCCGGAAUUAUUGGGCGUAAAGAGCUCGUAGGCGGUCUGUCGCGUCUGCUGUGAAAACCCGAGGCUCAACCUCGGGCCUGCAGUGGGUACGGGCAGACUAGAGUGCGGUAGGGGAGAUUGGAAUUCCUGGUGUAGCGGUGGAAUGCGCAGAUAUCAGGAGGAACACCAAUGGCGAAGGCAGAUCUCUGGGCCGUAACUGACGCUGAGGAGCGAAAGACAUGGGGAGCGAACAGG